CAGAUGCGACUUUUAUGGCCAUACAGUGAAGUAAAAACGAAUGCUGUCAGAGAGGUGCUGAUUAUAUUGGUUCAGACACUUUUGGUUUGUUUUACAAGCCCUGCUACUGCAACACAUUGAGGGGCAGAGAAGAAAGAGUGCUUGGAGACCAGCUGCUUUACACCAGCUCUCGCCUCCGUAGUGGGAUCCUAUUCACGUGAUAGAAGAUACACUCUGCCUAGGGAUUUUGUCUUUAACUGUCUCUUUCAAGGAUAAUGCCAGUGAGCUAUUGCUGCAGGUAUUUACUCUUAAUUUUCUUAUCCCAUUGAUACUACUACUGGCUCAGUGCUUUCUUGUUUUAUUGUGUUUCUUAGAUGGAACUACUAAUGGUAUUAGUGAUGUCACUAACGGUGUGUGCUGUAUUCUUUCCCAAAUAAACUACUCCUGGACUGGUG